rnacentral:misc_RNA from 1 species
AAAAAUAAAAAGAAAAAAAAAACUUGGAUCGCAUGUGUUGGAUGGACUUGCUAGUAGGUUGUCCAGGUGAGAGAUGAAAAAAUAUAGAAGAGUAAAGGAGAGAGAGGAAAGAACAUAAAGAGAGAAAGGAAAGAAGUACAUACCUAGGUAUGCUCUGUUUCUCUGCUCUAUGGCGUUCUAUGCUUUCUCUUGUAGAGGAAGUUGAUGACUUUAGCUUAGGGUUUGUUUUACUUUUAUGCUAUUUAAAAAAAUUGAAAGUGUAAAUUAUUUGCUCCAGAGUUUGCUUGUUUGUAGUGGACUCGCCUCAACCAGGCAAGGUGCCACGGGCUCGCCUUGCCGCGCGAGCCUUUAACAACAUUGGACAUAAACCAGUUUAAUUUCCAAGGCAUGGGCUCAUUUUCUUAGGUGUGUCAAUAGCCGACUGUUUUGAACAUGUUGCAAAACCCAAUUGAUCAAUUCCUGAGAGUCUAAGUUAAAAAUGAAGGAUGUUUGUGUCCUUUUCAUUGCUUUGGUCCCUUAUACUUGAUCCAAGUACGCAAAAAGGGUAUCAAAGGGUUCAUUUCUUAGCUAUUAAAUGCAAAGGCAUAAAAUCCUACUUUGCUCGAGCAGAAAGUUGUCUUAGUACAAAUGUUGUUAUGGUUAUGUCCCUUUCAAGCUCCAUAAUAGUUUUUGAGAUUCUAGAAAAUUGUAGAAAGAGAUGAUUCUCCUCA